AAAGUAUAGUCUCUAACCAGACCGAACGGCGUCGUUUGCUGAGACCAAUAAAAGAUCCUACGCGGAAGAGCUUUCAGUUGUACCCGAAAGGCCAAAAAAAAACAUGGGAACUCUAUCGUCUCUGUUCCCUCUCACACCGUCUGCAGUCCCAAAACCUCUCAAUAACUUUGCCCCGAAAACCCACUUUUAUGACCCCAUUUUCUCCGCUACUUUCACUUCAAAGCUUCAAUACAAGGCAGUGGCUUUCGCGGGGAAUCCGAACGACCCCAAACAGAAAGAAUACCUAUUCUUGGACGAAAACGGUGUCGUCGAAGACAUGGAUGGUUAUCUUGACAACCUAUCUCUCGAGUAUGAAUCAGUUUGGGACACAAAGCCUUCCUGGUGUCAACCAUGGACGAUUACCCUUACUGGAUUGUUGGUGAUUACCGCUAGCUGGCUAAUUUUGCACUCGGUUGUGGUCACAGCUUUUGCCACUUUGGGGAUAUGCACAUGGUGGUACAUCUAUCUCUCGAGUAUGAAUCAUUUGGGACACAAAGCCUUCCUGGUGUCAACCAUGGACGAUUACCCUUACUGGAUUGUUGGUGAUUACCGCUAGCUGGCUAAUUUUGCACUCGGUUGUGGUCACAGCUUUUGCCACUUUGGGGAUAUGCACAUGGUGGUACAUCUUUCUCUAUUCUUAUCCCAAGGCUUAUAUGGAGAUGAUAUCUGAGCGGAGAGAGAGGGUGAUGAAUGGUGCAGAAGAUACAUUUGGAAUGAGCAAGAAUGAAUGAUUUUGCAUAUUCUCUAUUUGUAUGUAGCACGUAGAUGUUGUGUUUAUGGCUUAUCGAAUGAAGAUGUUAAUUUAACAUCA